GCCGCUAGCUGAGAACUAGAUCCUCUGGGUUUGGUAUCUUACUUCUGCUGUUGCAAAGCUGGGAGCCUUCACCAAGAGGUUGGAAGACCCUCAUCUCCAUCUUUACCCCUGAAAAUCCAAACACCUGCUAUAAAAACCAAAUCCAACAAACAACAACAAAAGGCCAGCGUGGAGUCUUCCCAAAUAUGGCUCCCCUUGGAAAAGCAACCAUGGCAUUAGACUCCAGCUGGUGGCUGGAGGAGGAUGUCUGCCUGUACACUCAGAGGAAGGCCAAGAAGCCCCACCAUUGCAAGGCCAGUGGGCAGUGCAGGAGCAGAAGUGUGGCCUCUGAUCUCCACAGUGCUUCAAAAUCCCCUGAGGCGUCCCAGCUGUAUGGGAUCAUGGGAAAUGAAGGUUUUAGCUUUCCAGUCUUUGCUGUAUUGUAGAAGUCCAGAUGGCAAGAAACUGAAGAAAGCUUCCAGGCAACAGCUAGGAAGGAAUCAAAGUCCACAACACACGUACCUCUAAGUCCAGUCAACUUGGCAGUAAAGAUCAACAUCAGGCUGUCUGGAUUCAGAAGACUUCAGCCAUUUCCUGAUGUCUCCAUGGGGCCACCAGCCUUCUGCCCAUGUGAAACCUUCAAUAGUAAAGCCUUUAAAAGGAGAAGAGAGCGAUCGAGUGGCUCUCUGGAUACAAGGAAAGCAGGGGAGAAGCGCUAAGAGGCUGUCCCACUUUGAGUGAGAGAGAAUGCAAAGGACACACAGCCAGUGGAUGACGUGGGCACAGCAUCCACCAAACAUGACGCUUCAUGUCACUUUCCCGUCACCUGGAGACAGACGUGACUGCUGCCUACCUGCUGUCACCUGCACCACAGACAGACUCACUGCUCAUGUCAUGUCUGAAAAAAUAAAUGACUUUCAGUAGUAUCCAUA